GUCUACGGCCGUGCCACUCUGAACAAACCCAGUGUCUGAUCUUGGAAGCUAAGCAGGGUCAGGCCUGGCUAAUACUUUGAUGGGAGACCACCUAGGAAGACCAGGUGCUAUAGGCA
rnacentral:rRNA from 1 species